rfam:Myotis brandtii contig208411, whole genome shotgun sequence.
CUGGGGGCGGGGGGGUCCCUCAGCCCGGAUUGCGAGAGGGCGCAGGCCAGGCCUAAGGACCCCAUCAAUGCAUG